AGGGAUGUUUAAAUUGCCUGAGCCAAACCCGCGAUCUCUCUCGGCUCUCGACGCCAUUGUUCUUUUGGGCUCCUUGGUUGCUGCCUCGGUUUACAUGAGCGGCCGCGGACGCAGUGCCACAUGAGGUGGUAUCGGACCCUUGUCGCUCCACUGAAGAAGCUAUGGCUGCGUCUGCAUUCAGCUACGAAGAAGAGAAGAAGAGGGAUCUACAUUCUGUACGACGACGUUAAAUCAUGCCCGUAUGAGGAUGUUCACGUCCUCUGGUCCAUCCUUGUAGAAUCACAUCCCGCACUACCAUCGGAACACUGAAGAAGACAGCAGCUCUGGGAGUUGCUCAAGAGAUCAAUGACAUCAUGCACAUACAAUAUUUAUAAUGUCUUAUUCUUGUGUGAAGCAUUGCACAAUUACAAUAUUUAUAAUGUCUUAAUCUUGUGUGAAGCAUUGCACAAUUUGUUUU